GAUGAACGCUGGCGGCGUGCCUAACACAUGCAAGUCGAGCGAACGGACGUGUUGCUUGUUUCUCUGAUGUUAGCGGCGCACGGGUGAGCAACCUGUGGAUAACCUCCCUAUAAGACUGGGACUACUUCUGGAACCCGGAGUUAAUACCGGAUAAUAGUUUGAACCGCAUGGUUCACAAGCGACAGAUUGUCUUGCUGUCACUUAUAUAUGUUUCCGCGCUGCAUUAGCUAGUCGGUAAGGUAACGCCUUACCAAGGCACCGAUGCAUAGCCGACCUGAGAGAGGGAUCGGCGACACUGGAACUGAGACACGGUCCAGACUGCUACGGGAGGCAGCAGUAGGGAAUCUUCCGCAAUAGGCGAAAGCCUGACGGAGCAACGCCGCGUGAGUGAUGAAGGUCUUCGGGUCGUGAAACUCUGUUAUUAGGGAAGAACAUAUGUGUAAGUAACUGUGGACAUAAUGACGGUACCUAAUCAGAAAGCCACGGCUAACUACGUG
rnacentral:rRNA from 1 species